rnacentral:tRNA from 1 species
GGGGAUUUAGCUCAGUGGUAGAGCACUUGCUUAGCAAGCACAAGGCCCUGGGUUCAGUCCCCAGCUCCG